rnacentral:lncRNA from 1 species
GACGCUGCAGCACAAGUAAAGAGCAACUCAAACUGCAGAAUGCAGGAGGAGGCCACCUCCUGUCCUCCCGGGUCUGUCCCAGACCCCUGGAAGGCAGAGCCGGGUACAAGUACAGCUUGUUAGAGAAAGGUCCUUCCCUCGCUCAGGACACGCGGCCUGGUGUGAGCUGUGUGGCCUGGAUGCCUAGUUUGUGUUCUUGUGCAGUGUAUAACCUGCACAACUGCGCAUGGCAGCUCUGGAACGAAUGAACAGGGGCCAAAUGAGUGACAGAGGGUCUCAGGACUGCUCCUGGUCUCUAGAAGCCCAGCAUCUAGGUGGCAGGAAAAAGACCCAUUUAUGUGCCCGUUAAAACCAGCCAACAGAAGGGAUCAGCACCCGAUGGAUGGGAUGAGAUGACCGGACUGCGGUGACCCUGGAGGACGGGAGGGACCUCAGGUGGCUACUGUGCUCCUGAGAGACGGCAGGGCAGGGAAACACACAGCGGGGCCUAGUGAGCAGAGCCUCAGCAGGGCUGCAGCCGCGAGAAGCCCCGCCCCAGAGGAGACUCGGCCCGGAAAGGCCUCUCUGAAGGGAGAGGGACGAGCAAAGGCCCCGCGCGCGGAUGGGCUCCAGCC